GGUCUAAUUCGAUGAAAGCGAAGAACCUUAUCAAGGCUUGACAUGCCAUGAAUCCUCUUAAAAAGAGAGGGGUGCCCUUGGGAACACAGACACAAAUGAUGUAUGGUUGUCAUCAGCUCAUGCCAUAAGGUGUUGGGUUAAAUCUCACAAUGAGUGUAACCCUCGUGUUUAGUUGCCACUAUGAGUUUGGAAAGACCGCCGGUGUUAAGCCGAAGGAAGAAGAGGAUGAAGCCAACUCAUCAUGCCCCUUAUGCCCUAGGCGACAC
rnacentral:ncRNA from 1 species